rnacentral:misc_RNA from 1 species
GCCCUGGAUGGUGGAUCUACGCCAUCUUCUGGCAGGUCUCCAAGAAUGCCAGUGGCCACCUUGUUUUCUCAUGGGGUGAUGGCAAUUUCCGUGGCUCUAAAGAAUUUUUUACCAAACCUAGCAACACGCUGAACCAACACAAAUCUGGAUUCAAUCUUGAAAGAAAAGCGUCUAAAGAGCUCCAAGCUCUUUUCAGUGAUGACAUGGACAUGGACAGAUUGGCAGACGCUUAUGAUUCUGAUUAUGGGUGGUUCUAUAACGCAUCCGCAACGCGAACUUUCGCUGUUGGAGAAGGAAUUGUUGGCCAGACAUUUGGUUCCGGAGGUUUCACUUGGUUGACUGGUGA